UACAGGGGGUGCAAACGUUGCUCGGAAUUAUUGGGCGUAAAGCGCGCGUAGGCGGCUACUUAAGUCGGAUGUGAAAGCCCUUGGCUCAACUGAGGAAGUGCACCCGAAACUGAGUAGCUGGAGUACGAAAGAGGGUCGCGGAAUUCCCGGUGUAGAGGUGAAAUUCGUAGAUAUCGGGAGGAGCACCGGUGGCGAAGGCGGCGACCUGGGUCGAUACUGACGCUGAGGCGCGAAAGCGUGGGGAGCAAACAGG
rnacentral:rRNA from 1 species